rnacentral:rRNA from 1 species
UACAGAGGUGGCAAGCGUUGUUCGGAAUUACUGGGCGUAAAGCGCGUGUAGGCGGUUGCCCAAGUCGGGUGUGAAAGCCUUGAGCUCAACUCAAGAAAUGCACUCGGUACUGGGUGACUAGAGGACCGGAGAGGAUAGUGGAAUUCCCAGUGUAGUGGUGAAAUACGUAGAGAUUGGGAAGAACACCAGUGGCGAAGGCGGCUAUCUGGACGGUUUCUGACGCUAAGACGCGAAAGCGUGGGGAGCAAACAGG